UGAAAUUGUGUGCCUAUGCAAUUUGUUGUUAUUUUAAGUUCUUCAGCUGGAAUUUUAAAAAUCUAGAUGGACAAUUUUAUUUUAUCUGAUCGAUAAAUAUAUAUCCAGUUAAGUGCCUCUGAAAAAUUGAUUUUGGCGACCCAGAAAGGGUAAAGACAUGAUAAGAGAAGAUGCAUCCUGAACAACUUUUAUUUUGGCUUGAAGCAUUUGCUGUUAUGCUGUGUGGAGGGAAGGGGAACCUGCUAGUUAGGAACAUGUGGCAUGCAUGUACUAGAAGGUAAGCUCCACAAGAUCAUGACUCUUCACAGUGGUAUCCCUGGUAAGUAGAAGAGUGCCUGAAAGAUAACAGGGGCUCAAUAAAUACCUGCUGAAUGAUCAACUAGUGAAUAUUCUGGGCCCUUUAAGGGAUUCUCCAACUCUCUUUUCUUACCCAAGCUGCAUCUUGCUUUAGGCCAGUGGUUCUCAACCUGGGGCUAAUUUUUGCCCCCAGUCAGGGGAUAUCUGUAUUUUUUGUUGUCACAGUUAGAGAAGUUCCUACUGGCAUUUAGAGGGUAGAUGCCAGGGACGCUGCUAAACAUCUUACAGUGCACAGGACAGCCCUGUUCCACAGAGAUUUAUCUGGCCCCAAAGGUUAAUAGGGCCAAAGUUAUGAAACUCUGAUUUAUGCCCUUUGUUUCUAUUGGGCUGUACCUGGGAGUCAGAUCCUCUGCAUAUUUGGAAUGAAGUUCAGUCCUAAAGGAAGCACCCCAGAAAAGCCUCAUUGCUUCAUCCUCAUUCCCUUCAAGACCUAAUAGAACUGCCCCCACUCUAAGGCAGGCU
ensembl:lncRNA ZBTB20-AS5 ZBTB20 antisense RNA 5